GGUGGUGGUGCAUGGCCAUUCUUAGUUUGUGAAGCGAUUUAUCUGAUUAAUUCCGUUAACGAAUGGGACCUCAGUUUGCUAGAUUCUCCGUUAACCCGAAGGGCACAACAUGCUUCAAACAAUGUUUUCUUUGAUGCUGAUGUUUUACUUAUCACUCCAUGGGAGGCAAGCGAAGGAUGGAUUGGGGAAAGAUCGAGAUGGAUUCGGCACUUUUAGGCACACAAGUGAGAAGCCUGUGUUGGCAAGGGGUUGAAUCGUGCUGUCAAAGUUCGGAAUGUGAUGACGAUCACAGUCACGAGCACUUACUGCAAUGCUCU
rnacentral:rRNA from 1 species